GAAAAGCAGUUCCAACAUCGUGUAUCCAGAAGCGGUGAUAAAAGAAGCUUUCUGAUUGGUCAGAGACUGGCUUGGCCCAUCUUCGGGAGGAAUGGGGACUCGCCGUAUCCUCCCGCCCUUCUGGAGGUGGGUUCGCCCACGAAGUGGGCCGGUCGGGAGCGCGGGAGGCUGGAGCAGCGCCUGCCCCGUGGACAAGGUGCCGUUGCCCAGGCGGAGCUUUGAGCUGGUUUGACUUCGCCGAGGUUCUUGUCCCUCCCCCAAGUCCCAGAUUCCGGGGAGCGCGGCCGUAAGGUGCAUCAAUCUCGCAGGCGAAUCUGAUUUUUAAAGCCCAGGGAUAUUAUGCACUUUAAAAUGUAAAAUAUGAAAGUGUUAAAAGUGAUGUCUGUGGAACAAGGACAAGUGAAGGAUGUGGAGGAGCCGUUGGACUCAGGAAUUGGAGGCUGUACUUUCCUCUGAGUCCAGCCCCUCUUGUAAAAUGGACAAUGUAUCACAUACCACAUACGGAAUGAAAGCGAGCCUCCAGGACACUUCCCAUCCCACAGGGAGGCUCCGGAGAUAUCUGUGGACUUUCCGGGGAGGCCCCUCUUGCUGGCGGUCAGGAACCCCAGUCUGCAGUCACUGCUGUCUUCCUGACCUGGGCAAGUCGCCUCACUCCUGAGCCUGUUUCCUCAUUUUUAAAAGGGGCUAGUGGAACCCACCUUCUGGGGUUGUCCUGAGGCUUAGAAGAGAGAACAUCUGUAGGUGCCUGGGACAUAGCUGGUGCUCAACGGUGACGAAUGGAUGAAUGAGAAGAGAUUUAUCUGGACAGAUUGGGUUUAUCAUCACCGUCAUAUGUUGGCCAGAUGCAUGCACCCCUCUUCUCACUCCCGCUGGUUCCCCUGGGAUGGCUGGUGCUGAAAGGGAAGAGCAGCCCCUCAGGGGACAAGAGAGGACAGAAGGAGAUUGCCACCCUCUCCAAUAUGUGUCUCUGAGAUGCCAGGUCCCCAGCCUGCCAAACACUGGGGGGCGUCAGGACUCCUGAACCCCCAAAGCUGGUUCUGCAUCCCUGACUUGCCCAGAAACUGUUCUAGCUGCUGGUACAGAAGGGUAAGGGUCUGCAGGAUGGUAGAAGUUGCCUUUUAGAGGAAUGAAAAUCAAUGAAAUACUCAAGGGAGCGCUCUCUGUCUUGCCUAUGGUGCUAGGCAACGAGAAAAGCCGCCUCUUGGUGACCUUGGGCAAGUUUCUAGCCCUCUCCCUGCCUCAGUUUCCCCAUCUGGGUGACAGGAGGGAGAAGGAAGGUAAGCAGCUAAGCGCUCAAGUCCAGGGCAGCUCGGAGACAUGAGACUGCCGGCUCCCCUCCCUCGGUGCCUGAGGAGGCUGGAAGUUGCAAGCGCGGAGAAUGCUCCUCGCAGGGCUGAGCAGAGCGGAGCGCCAGCUACGGGAAGGUCACCUCGCUCCCUCGCAGAUCCGUUGCGGGGGGCGCUGAGCUCUGAGCCCCGGAGAAGGGGCUUGGACAUUCAGGGAGCCAAGAAAGAGGCCUGUCUGGAAAGGGGUCUCGUGGAGCGAAGCAUGCGCCUAUAGCCCCCUCCAAGUGCCUUGCAAAGGAAGCCCCGAGCGCCCACAAGGACCCAGAGGUGCAGCUUUCCACCCCUGUCUUCGCCCUUGGUCCGGGACCCGGGUCCUCGCAGCGUGGCCAUCCGGCCUUUGGCGCCCGAGAGUUUCGGUUGUCCGGCCGGGCGCACGGCCUCCCCGCCCUCUCCCUGUGCCAAGUCCGUCCCGGGCAGAGUUUGGGAAAUGCUGUGGACCCCCCUCCACGCUCCACCAGCGCCCCGCGGGAUGCGUGGGCAGAGAAGCGCUGGGGAAGACUGGCCGGCCGCGGGACCCACGGGGUGCAGGGGCCAGGGUGGUGGAUGAGGGGAGAGGGACGCGGAGGGGAGCGCGCUGCUCACCGGUAAAGGCCCCCACUGCCUUCGUGAUGUCCUCAGCGUUGAGAAAGUCUGUCAUCGACAUCCUGCAACUGUUUGAGCUGGCAGAGC